rnacentral:rRNA from 1 species
GAUGAACGCUGACAGAAUGCUUAACACAUGCAAGUCGAUGGGGAAGUGGUGCUUGCACCAUGGUAACCAUGGCGGACGGGUGAGUAACGCGUAAGGAACUUGCCUGCGGGACUGGGAUAACAGCAGGAAACUGCUGAUAAUACCGGAUAAGGUCAUUAAGCUGCAUAGCUUAGCGAUGAAAGGAGACGCCUGCGGGGAGCCUUGCGUCCUAUUAGCUAGUUGGAGGGGUAACGGCCCACCAAGGCGAAGAUAGGUAGCCGGCCUGAGAGGGUGGACGGCCAAAAGGGGACUGAGAUACGGCCCUUACUCCUACGGGAGGCAGCAGUGGGGAAUAGCGGACAAUGGGGGCAACCCUGAUCCAGCAAUUCUGUGUGCACGAAGACGGUUUUCGGAUUGUAAAGUGCUUUCAGCAGGGAAGAAGGAAGUGACGGUACCUGCAGAAGAAGCGACGGCUAAAUACGUG